rnacentral:rRNA from 1 species
AAAUUGAAGAGUUUGAUCAUGGCUCAGAUUGAACGCUGGCGGCAGGCCUAACACAUGCAAGUCGAACGGUAGCACAGAGAGCUUGCUCUCGGGUGACGAGUGGCGGACGGGUGAGUAAUGUCUGGGAAACUGCCCGAUGGAGGGGGAUAACUACUGGAAACGGUAGCUAAUACCGCAUAACGUCGCAAGACCAAAGUGGGGGACCUUCGGGCCUCACACCAUCGGAUGUGCCCAGAUGGGAUUAGCUAGUAGGUGGGGUAACGGCUCACCUAGGCG